ensembl:lncRNA
AAAACAGAAAAUGCAGUUGGAGAAGGUAAUCUUCUUAUUUUAUUUAAUUUAGGAGGAUAUGCUUGCCCUCCACAGCAUGAUUUAAUUUUGUCUGAGAAAAGAACAUUUUCCGGUUUGAAAUUAAAAGACUAAAAUGGUUAAGCCUUGUACUUAUAGCUAAAAGUAAUAUUGCAAUCUUAAGGGAGAGGAAAUCUAUCGAUACAGUCAAUAAAAAGAACAGCAGCUGAACAAAUAUGUCUCGUGCAUUAUAGGAAGUAUUAGAUGAUUGUCCAAACCUUUGGUUGAACUUGUAUGGGUGGGGGUGUUACGUGAAGAGAGCUGUAUGCAUGUAUGUCUCUCUCUCUGGCCCUCUCCUACCCUUGUCCUGCAGGUGAGAGGUGGAGGAUUGGCUGGCCCCAACCCUCACAUUCACGGCCAUUUCAGCCAAUCAGAGACAGAGGACACUAUAUAAAGCCUCUCUCUCUUUUUGCUCUCCCUCUCUCUGACUUUGUCCAUUAAGGUUUGCGGUGGGAAAGUGGUACUGAGGUAAUACACUCAGAGACACACACUUGUUACUCCAAUAGGUUAUGGGUUGUUGCCACCAAUGUAUUUUUAUUACUUUUGGACACUUUUGUAGAUAAGAGAGUCAAGCCUUUUGUUUUCUUUUUCCUUUCCACACAAUGUUGAGCUAGGCCCUAUUUCAUUGUACUUAUUUUGUUUGGCACAACCCCAACAGUUCACCCCCCCCUCUACUUUACCUAAGUAUUGUAAAUGAAUCUAUUUUCUUUAACUGCUUUACAUUGUCCCUGAGUUCUUCCUUCAUUGGUUGUCAGCGUUAUUGUUUCCACUUAAAAAGGGAAACGUAACAAUUGGGGCUUGUCCGGGAUAAACCUGUGUUUUUCCUUCUGACAAUCAAUGGGAAAUUACUCAUGGUGUUUGUUUGGCAUGUGGUUGAAAAUGAGUUUCAAUUUACAAGAUUUAGUUGACAAUCCCUCAUUUGAAAAAAUUGAUGUGUGUCGCAAGGAUGAUUUAUUGUGUAUUGCAGCACACUGACAUACUGUUCACAAGUACGGACUUAAGAAAGAAAUCAAGAUGCAGGUCCUAGAAAAACUAGUUGAUUUAAAUGUCCUUAGUUCUGCCCAGCCUGUGGGUAAAGUUUCAGCUAAUGAUGUUUCUUCUACUACAGCAGGGGUUUUGUCUCAGACCAUCGAGGAGCCAGCUGCACUAUUCACACCUCCUGCAGACCAUGCUACGUUACCUCGUUUUGACUCUUUCUCUCCUCAACAAUCUCAGGGGUUAGUUCAAGUUCCAAGCUCAAGGUUCCCCUCACUCUCCUUCAGCUGGAGGCCAAAGAAAAAGUCGUUGUCAUUUCAGCACGCUCCAAAGGUGACCCGCCACCACCCCUGACACCUCCAAUCUACAGCAGAACCUGGCAUAGCAGGAGAGUUAUGCAACUUGGGCUCUACCACCACCACCACCACCAGUGUCUGGACUCCCAAGGGGGGGAUAUGCCUCGUCUCGGCUCGAGUUCCCGGCCCCGGGUCUUUCCUGCGGCAGGAUGGAGUCCAAGCCCCAAACAACUUGCAAUAUCAUAUUAUACCUGUUAUAAUAAAGCAUUGUUCAAAUUUCAACAAGUCUCUCCGGAUUGAAAUGACCUAAUUGAAAUGCUAAAGUCCG